rnacentral:rRNA from 1 species
CAAUAGCGUAUAUUAAAGUUGUUGCAGUUAAAAAGCUCGUAGUUGGAUUUCGGAGCGGGCCAGUUGGUCCGCCGCAAGGUGUGUUACUGACUGGUCUGUUCUUCUUCGCAAAGACUGCGUGUGCUCUUCGCUGAGUGUGCGUAGGAUUUACGACGUUUACUUUGAAAAAAUUAGAGUGUUCAAAGCAGGCUGUCGCUUGAAUACAUGAGCAUGGAAUAAUGGAAUAGGACUUUGGUUCUAUUUUGUUGGUUUCUAGGACCGAAGUAAUGAUUAAGAGGGACAAUUGGGGGCAUCCGUAUUUCGUUGUCAGAGGUGAAAUUCUUGGAUUUACGAAAGACGAACAACUGCGAAAGCAUUUGCCAAGGAUGUUUUCAUUAA